CCUACGGGAGGCAGCAGUGAGGAAUAUUGGUCAAUGGGCGCGAGCCUGAACCAGCCAAGCCGCGUGAAGGAUGACUGCCCAACGUGUCGUAAACUUCUUUUUUAAAGGAAUAAAGUCAGGCACGCGUGCCCUUUUGUAUGUACUUUAUGAAUAAGCAUCGGCUAACUCCGUUCCAGCAGCCGCGGUAAUACGGAGGAUUCGAUCUUUAUCCGGAUUUAUUGGGUUUAAAGGGGGCGUAGACGGGGUGUUAAGUCCGGUGUGAAAGUGUGUGGGUAAACCAUAAAAUUGCAAUUGAUACUGGCAGCCUUGAGUACAGGUGAGGUAGGCGGAAUUCGUGGUGUAGCGGUGAAAUGCUUAGAUAUCACGAAGAACUCCGAUUGCGAAGGCAGCCUACUAAACUGCCACUGACAUUGAGGCUCGAAAGUGUGGGUAUCAAACAGGAUUAGAUACCCGUGUAGUC
rnacentral:rRNA from 1 species